rnacentral:lncRNA from 1 species
GCCUAUUCAUGUACCUGGCACACAACUGUUGUUCAACAAAUACUUGCAGAAUCACAGGAUUAAUAGCAGAUGCACUGCAGUCCUCCUGGCUCCUGCACUUGCCACAGGAGAAUGGCAGUACUUUGGAGGUUGCCCAUCUCCUGUGGGCUCCAGAAACCUCAGGUCUGUGAGAGUUUUGGCAAGUGGAAGGUGGAUGGCAGUGAUGUGUGUCAUUUCCAGGCCUGGCAACCUAAAUACCUCCUCUGUGCAUUCCACGGUGGCUCAUUCUUGCCUUGUUGGCCAGCCAGAUGCAGAAGAUCCAGCAUAGAGUUCCAAAGCCUCCAGGAUUCCAAGGCAUCUAGGAGAUAGAGGAGCAACUAAAUGCAGGGUGCCUGGGCCCCUGGAGGACUGCAUGGAGCAGAACAACUCUUCCUCAUCCCCCCUUUCUGCUGAUUCCGUGUGGUCUGUGAUGUGAGCAAGAAAAAGACCUUUGC